rnacentral:rRNA from 1 species
GAUGAACGCUGGCGGCGUGCUUAACACAUGCAAGUCGAACGGAAAGGCCCAAGCUUGCUUGGGUACUCGAGUGGCGAACGGGUGAGUAACACGUGGGUGAUCUGCCCUGCACUUCGGGAUAAGCCUGGGAAACUGGGUCUAAUACCGGAUAGGACCACUUCUUGGAUGUUGUGGUGGAAAGUUUUUUCGGUGUGGGAUGAGCUCGCGGCCUAUCAGCUUGUUGGUGGGGUAAUGGCCUACCAAGGCGUCGACGGGUAGCCGGCCUGAGAGGGUGUACGGCCACAUUGGGACUGAGAUACGGCCCAGACUCCUACGGGAGGCAGCAGUGGGGAAUAUUGCACAAGGGGCGCAAGCCUGAUGCAGCGACGCCGCGUGGGGGAUGACGGCCUUCGGGUUGUAAACUCAUUUCGCUAGGGACGAAGCGUUUUGUGACGGUACCUGGAGAAGAAGCACCGGCUAACUACGUG